rnacentral:antisense_RNA from 1 species
AGAAUAAUUUUAACACAGUCAAUGAAAUUUCUACACAACAAUGUUCUUGUCUCAAGUCCAAGAAUGCCUCCUACACCUCCCAUAAUACUGGCUUUCUGGCUGGAGUGCAGUGGCGUGGUCACUGUUGACUGCAGCCUCAAAUUCCUGGGCUCAAGAAAUCCUCCCAUCUCAGCCUCCCAAAACCUGAAGAUUGGAUCUUCUGAGAACAUCAGAGAAAGAAUGUCCUUGCCAUCCACAAUACAGCAAAACUUCAGGACCUUGAACUUUGGGUUCAUAAUCUCACAAGAGGGAAGUUUUUUUGCCGGAAAAAGAUGGCAUCCUUGAUGUGAACAGCUUUUCCCAAGAUCACAGAUCAAGACUUCUAGUUUUUUUUUUUGAGACAGAGUCAUUUUUUUUUUUUUUUUUUUUUUUUUUUUUUUUUGAGACAUAGUCUCGGUCUUGUUGCUCAGGUUGGAGUGGAAUAGCAUGAUCUUGGCUCACUGCAACCUCCGCCUCCUGGGUUCAAGUAAUUCUCCUGACUCAGCCUCCAGAGUAGCUGGGAUUACAGGCGCCCACCACCAUGCCUGGCUAAUUUUUUUGUAUUUUUAGUGGAGACAG